GAGGGCAUGGCUCAAGCAAUAGAGCUUCUGCCUGGCAAGCUCAAGGCCCUGAGUUUAAAUCUUAGUUCCAUCA
rfam:Dipodomys ordii contig_20973, whole genome shotgun sequence.